rnacentral:lncRNA from 1 species
AGCCAUUAACAUUUUACAUUGUGGAUAAUUGAAACAUUUUAUGUGGUGGAGAGAGAUUGCUUAAUGGAUAAGUAUUACACAUGGACUAAUGAAAACAUGCCAUGUGUCAAGCUUGGAUUAUUCUAGAAUUUCCUCAUAAAAUCUAUUUAAAACUCUCUUAGUCUCACCCAUAUGGCCUGCCAAAGCAUGAAGUGAAGAGGAAAGGAAAGAACACAAACCCUAGGUGGGAAAAUUGAAGAAAAAGUGUGGGAUUUCAAGGGAUUAAGCUAAUAAAGGUAAAAUUUUGUGAUUUUAUCUUGUGAUUUACACUACCCAUGCUUUCUUUUUCAUUUUCCAUGCUUAGAACUCAAGUUUGCAUGAUGAACCCAUGCUGGCCGAAUUUGAGAGGAGAGGUUUUGAGCAUUGAUUUUGCUAGAUUUCAAGCUAAUUAAGUGUUUUUGGUUGUUUGGUAAUGGAAAGUAUGAAAAUCUAGCAAGGAAUCACUUUGUUCUUCACAAACCCACAAGAGGCCCAAUUUUCUAGGGAGGAUAUUGAGGCUGAAAUUGAUGAUAUUUCAUGAUAUAUUGUGGUAUUUAAUGAUUGGUGAGGCUAGAAAUUUAAUGGGAAAUUUUGGCAUGAAAAUAUGAAUUUUUACCUAAUGUAUAGACAUCUGCAAUUUAUGGUCCGGACUGAUAAAUUGAAUCAUAUUCACAGUCAUUGAGGUAUUUUAAGUAUAAUUGGAGUGUAGAAAGUGAAAGAAAUCUAUUUGGAGUUAAAUUGGAGGUUUUAGCCAAUUACACCGAGAAUAGUGCGAAUUAGGUCGAAUACCGUAUUUAAACGGCUAUUCGGACAUUUUGCAUCACAUUUCGUGCAUUCAUAUAGAUUUAUAGAGCCUUAAAUAGUUUAUGAUAAAUUGACACAAUUUAUGAAAAUUCGUGUCACGUAUGAUGUAUAGGUGGUGAGCCCUCUAACAAGGGUAAAGAGAUUGUGCCUGA